UACAGAGGGGGCAAGCGUUGUUCGGAAUUACUGGGCGUAAAGGGCCCGUAGGCGGCCAACUAAGUCCGACGUGAAAUCCCAAGGCUUAACCUUGGAACUGCGUCGGAUACUGGACGGCUUGAAUUCGGGAGAGGGAUGCAGAAUUCCAGGUGUAGCGGUGAAAUGCGUAGAUAUCUGGAGGAACACCGGUGGCGAAGGCGGAUCUCUGGGCCUGUCCUGACGCUCAGGCGCGAAAGCUAGGGGAGCAAACGGG
rnacentral:rRNA from 1 species